AUUGAACGCUGGCGGCAUGCCUUACACAUGCAAGUCGAACGGCAGCACGGGUGCUUGCACCUGGUGGCGAGUGGCGAACGGGUGAGUAAUACAUCGGAACGUACCUUAUCGUGGGGGAUAACGCAGCGAAAGCUGUGCUAAUACCGCAUACGCCCUGAGGGGGAAAGCGGGGGAUCGAAAGACCUCGCGCGAUUAGAGCGGCCGAUGCCUGAUUAGCUUGUUGGUGGGGUAAAAGCCCACCAAGGCGACGAUCAGUAGCUGGUCUGAGAGGACGAUCAGCCAUAAUGGGACUGAGACACGGCCCAGACUCCUACGGGAGGCAGCAGUGGGGAAUUUUGGAAAAUAGGGGCAAGCUUGAUCCAGCAAUGCCGCGUGAGUGAAGAAGGCCUUCGGGUUGUAAAGCUCUUUUGUCAGGGAAGAAACACCGGCUCUAACACAGUCCGGGAAUGACGGUACCUGAAGAAUAAGCACCGGCUAACUACGUGCCAGCCGCCGCCGCAG
rnacentral:rRNA from 1 species